rnacentral:rRNA from 1 species
CGGGACGGGUGAGUAAUGUCUGGGAAACUGCCUGAUGAGGGGGAUAACUACUGGAAACGGUAGCUAAUACCGCAUAACGUCGCAAGACCAAAGAGGGGGACCUUCGGGCCUCUUGCCAUCGGAUGUGCCCAGAUGGGAUUAGCAGUAGGUGGGGUAACGGCUCACCUAGGCGACGAUCCCUAGCUGGUCUGAGAGGAUGACCAGCCACACUGGAACUGAGACACGGUCCAG